GUUCGGAUUGCAGGCUGCAACCCGCCUGUAUGAAGUUGGAAUCGCUAGUAAUCGCGGAUCAGCAUGCCGCGGUGAAUACGUUCCCGGGCCUUGUACACACCGCCCGUCACACCAUGAGAGUCGGGAACACCCGAAGUCCGUAGCCUAACCGCAAGGGGGCGCGGCCGAAGGUGGGUUCGAUAAUUGGGGUGAAGUCGUAACAAGGUAAC
rnacentral:rRNA from 1 species